CGAGUUUGAUCCUGGCUCAGGAUGAACGCUAGCGGCAGGCUUAACACAUGCAAGUCGAGGGGCAGCGCGGGUAGCAAUACCUGGCGGCGACCGGCAAACGGGUGCGGAACACGUACGCAAUCUGCCCUUACCCGGAGCAUAGCCCGAAGAAAUUCGGAUUAACUCUCCAUAAGAUAGUAGAAUGGCAUCAUUUAGCUAUUAAAAAUUUAUUGGGUAAGGAUGAGCGUGCGUCCCAUUAGCUAGUUGGUAGGGUAACGGCCUACCAAGGCGACGAUGGGUAGCUGGUGUGAGAGCACGACCAGCCACACGGGCACUGAGACACGGGCCCGACUCCUACGGGAGGCAGCAGUGAGGAAUAUUGGUCAAUGGACGCAAGUCUGAACCAGCCAUGCCGCGUGAAGGAUGAAGGCCUUCUGGGUUGUAAACUUCUUUUAUGUGGGAAGAAACCUCUGAUUUCUAUUAGAGUUGACGGUACCAUAGGAAUAAGCACCGGCUAACUCCGUGCCAGCAGCCGCCGCC
rnacentral:rRNA from 1 species